UUUUAAAAAGUUUUAACCAUUUAUAUUGUUAAAAACUGGUGUGACUGAUAGAAUAAUCAAUUAGUUACACAUGGUGUACUACAAAUACCUCAUCCUAACAUAUAAAGAUCAGCUUUUAACAUUAUAAAUGGAUAGAAUUUUUAAUA
rfam:Gossypium hirsutum cultivar TM-1 chromosome 11, whole genome shotgun sequence